rnacentral:rRNA from 1 species
AUGAAUAUUCUAAGCUAGAACUGUCGAUGGGGUGGGAACCCUCGGAUAGUUCAUGAUCUUGUGAGCCUAGUGCAGGCUCAUUCCCCUAGUGUCGUCUUUCAUUGUGAAACUAGGCAGUCUAAGAAUAAAAUGAAGAGGUACAAUGCUCGGUUAGGUCUAAGUGGUUUUGAUGCUUCAGAUAGUGUUGGUCUUAGUGGUGGUCUUGCUUUGUAUUGGCAUGAGUCGUUGAGUGUAAGUGCAUCUAGUGCCCCUUAG